UCGAAAGAAUCAGCUAAUACCGCAUGAGACCUGAGGGUGGAAAGCGGGGGAGUCGCAAGACCUCGCGCGACAGGAGCGGCCGAUGUCUGAUUAGCUAGUUGGUGAGAUAAAAGCUUACCAAGGCGACGAUCAGUAGCUGGUCUGAGAGGAUGAUCAGCCACAUUGGGACUGAGACACGGCCCAGACUCCUACGGGAGGCAGCAUG
rnacentral:rRNA from 1 species